UGUUUGUGUCUAACUAAAAUUUUUCAAAUAUGUACCAUUCCAAAUUAACUUCAGUAUGGGAUUUGCUCAUUGUUGAAGGCCGUAAAGUUACCUGUAAUUGUUAAUUUCUGUGUCAUUUUGGUCCCUUGUGGAGAGUUGUCUCAGUGGCAAUCAUGCCACAUCUUCUUUUUUUUUAUUUUUUACUAUUCUAGUGGCUAAUGGUGUAGACUGGUCAUGAUUGGGUUGUUUGUUAAAAGGUUAUUCUACCAACAUCAAAUAAACAUAAUCAAUGAUCAAGGUAAAGGAGGUCAAGGUCAAA
rnacentral:lncRNA from 1 species